CUUCUUCUUUCUUUUUCUUUUCUUUUUUUUUUCUUUCUCUUUUCCCCUUCUUGGCCGAUCAAAGGAGGAAGGUCUGGAGGUUCAGUGGUUCAUAAUCGGAUGACCGGCAGUGGGUGGUAGGCGUCUGGCCGAUGGCGAUGGAGCAAGUGAGGGCCGGCGACAGGCGAUAGGCCAAAGAAAAUAAAAAAUAAUCAAAAAAAUAAGGGACCUCCC
rnacentral:lncRNA from 1 species